GGGGAAUCUUGCACAAUGGGGGCAACCCUGAUGCAGCGACGCCGCGUGAGCGAUGAAGCCCUUCGGGGCGUAAAGCUCUUUCGACCGGAACGAUAAUGACGGUACCGGGAGAAGAGGCUGCGGCUAACUACGUGCCAGCAGCCGCGGUAAUACGUAGGCAGCAAGCGUUGUUCGGAGUUACUGGGCGUAAAGAGUGCGUAGGCGGUUUUCUAAGUUCGGUGUGAAAUCUCCCGGCUUAACUGGGAGGGUGCGCCGAAGACUGGGAAGCUGGAGUGUGGGAAAGGCAGGCGGAAUUCCUGGUGUAGCGGUGAAAUGCGUAGAGAUCAGGAGGAACACCGGCGGUGUAGACGGCUUGCAAGACCAUAACUGACGCUGAGGCACGAAAGCGUGGGUAGCAAACA
rnacentral:rRNA from 1 species